CCUACGGGUGGCAGCAGUGAGGCAUAUUGGUCAAUGGGCGCGAGCCUGAACCAGCCAAGUAGCGUGAAGGAUGACUGCCCUACGGUUUGUAAACUUCUUUUAUAAAGGAAUAAAUUGAGGCACUUGUGCCUUUUUGUAUGUACUUUAUGAAUAAGGAUCGGCUCACUACGUGCCAGCAGCCGCGGUAAUACGGAGGAUCCGAGCGUUAUCCUGAUUUAUUUGGUUUAAAGGGAGCGUAGAUGGGUUGUUAAGUCAGUUGUGAAAGUUUGCGGCUCAACCGUAAAAUUGCAAUUGAUACUGGCAGCCUUGAGUACAGUUGAGGUAGGCGGAAUUCGUGGUGUAGCGGUGAAAUGCUUAGAUAUCACGAAGAACUCCGAUUGCGAAGGCAGCUUACUAAACUGCCACUGACAUUGAUGCUCGAAAGUGUGGGUAUCAAACAGGAUUAGAUACCCCAGUAGUC
rnacentral:rRNA from 1 species